GUUCUCGUAGCUCAGCAGGAUAGAGCGUAGGAUUCCUAAUCCUGAGGUCGUGGGUUCAAUUCCCUCCGAGAACACCA
rnacentral:tRNA from 1 species